GUAGGUGGCAAGCGUUGUCCGGGAAUUAUUGGGGCGUAAAGCGCGCGCAGGCGGUUCUUUAAGUCUGAUGUGAAAGCCCACGGGCUCAACCGUGGGAGGGUCAUUGGAGACUGGAGAACUUGAGUACAGAAGAGGAAAGCGGAAUUCCACGUGUAGCGGUGAAAUGCGUAGAGAUGUGGAGGAACACCAGUGGCGAAGGCGGCUUUCUGGUCUGUAACUGACGCUGAGGCGCGAAAGCGUGGGGAGCAAACAGGAUUAGAUACCCUGGUAGUCCACGCCGUAAACGAUGAGUGCUAAGUGUUAGGGGGUUUCCGCCCCUUAGUGCUGCAGCUAACGCAUUAAGCACUCCGCCUGGGGAGUACGGCCGCAAAGGCUGA
rnacentral:rRNA from 1 species